UGCCAGCCGCCGCGGUAAUACGAAGGGGGCUAGCGUUGUUCGGAAUCACUGGGCAUAAAGCGCACGUAGGCGGCUUGGUCAGUCUGUUGUGAAAGCCCUCGGCUCAACCGGGGAAUUGCAUCGGAUACUGCCAGGCUUGAGGACGGUUGGGGUGAGUGGAACUCCUGGUGGAGCGGUGAAAUGCGUAGAUAUCAGGAGGAACACCAGUGGCGAAAGCGGCUCACUGGACCGUAUCUGACGCUGAGGUGCGAAAGCUAGGGUAGCGAACGGGAUUAGAUA
rnacentral:rRNA from 1 species